GUGGUUCAAAAGUACGCAUACUUUAAUAGUCAAGCAGGGUUGUGCCUUCCGUUGCUGGGAUUAAAUUGUCAAGAUUAAUUACUCAAAUUGUGAGCACUGGCUCUGGUUACUGACAUCUUCUGUGUGAAAUGAGUCAAGCUUGGUGUUGAUGGGACUCAGAAAUGAUGAAAAAUGUUUUGGUGGUACAUGUGACUUAAUUCCAAAUCAACUAAAAGAAAACUAAUUGAAGAACUGGUAUAAAAAAUUUGAAAAAAGAAAAAAGACAUAUAGC
rnacentral:misc_RNA from 1 species